ACACUCCUGCGGGAGGCAGCAGUGGGGAAUAUUGGACAAUGGGCGCAAGCCUGAUCCAGCCAUGCCGCGUGAGUGAUGAAGGCCCUAGGGUUGUAAAGCUCUUUCACCGGUGAAGAUAAUGACGGUAACCGGAGAAGAAGCCCCGGCUAACUUCGUGCCAGCAGCCGCGGUAAUACGAAGGGGGCUAGCGUUGUUCGGAUUUACUGGGCGUAAAGCGCACGUAGGCGGACUAUUAAGUCAGGGGUGAAAUCCCGGGGCUCAACCCCGAAACUGCCUUUGAUACUGGUAGUCUUGAGUUCGAGAGAGGUGAGUGGAAUUCCGAGUGUAGAGGUGAAAUUCGUAGAUAUUCGGAGGAACACCAGUGGCGAAGGCGGCUCACUGGCUCGAUACUGACGCUGAGGUGCGAAAGCGUGGGGAGCAAACAGGAUUAGAUACCCGGGUAGUCC
rnacentral:rRNA from 1 species